UACGAAGGGGGCUAGCGUUGCUCGGAAUCACUGGGCGUAAAGGGUGCGUAGGCGGGUCUUUAAGUCAGGGGUGAAAUCCUGGAGCUCAACUCCAGAACUGCCUUUGAUACUGAGGAUCUUGAGUUCGGGAGAGGUGAGUGGAACUGCGAGUGUAGAGGUGAAAUUCGUAGAUAUUCGCAAGAACACCAGUGGCGAAGGCGGCUCACUGGCCCGAUACUGACGCUGAGGCACGAAAGCGUGGGGAUCAAACAGGG
rnacentral:rRNA from 1 species